rnacentral:rRNA from 1 species
UGAAAAUGGAUGGCGCUGAAGCGUCGUGCUUAUACUCGGCCGUCAGCGGCAUGUGCGGUCGGCGAAGCGAUUUCGGUCGUUAUCGCGGCCAUGAAGCUCUGACGAGUAGGAGGGUCGCGACGGUGAGCGCAGAAGGGCUGGCCGCGAGGCCGUCUGGAGCCGCCGUCGGUGCAGAUCUUGGUGGUAGUAGCAAAUACUCCAGCGAGGCCCUGGAGGACUGACGUGGAGAAGGGUUUCGUGUGAACAGCCGUUGCACACGAGUCAGUCGAUCCUAAGCCCUAGGCGAAAGCCGAUGUUGAUGUGGCGUUUAUUUAUAGUGUAUAUAUAUGUAUAUACGUAUAAUAUAUACACGCCCGUCGGGCGAAAGGGAAUCCGGUUCCUAUUCCGGAACCCGGCAGCGGAACCGUACGAUAGUCGGGCCCUCGCAAGAGAGUUCGUCGGGGCAACCCAAAAGGACCCGGAGACGCCGUCGGGAGAUCCGGGAAGAGUUUUCUUUUCUGCAUAAGCGUUCGAGUUCCAUGGAAUCCUCUAGCAGGGAGAUAUGGUUUGGAACGCGAAGAGCACCGCAGUUGCAGCGGUGUCCGGAUCUUCCCCUCGGACCUUGAAAAUCCGGGAGAGGGCCACGUGGAGGAGUCGCGCCGGUUCGUACCCAUAUCCGCAGCAGGUCUCCAAGGUGAAGAGCCUCUAGUCGA